rnacentral:snRNA from 1 species
AUUGCUUCUUUGCCUUUUGGCUAAGAUCAAGUGUAGUAU